rnacentral:rRNA from 1 species
UACGGGGGGGGCAAGCGUUGUUCGGAAUUACUGGGCGUAAAGGGCUCGUAGGCGGCCAACUAAGUCAGACGUGAAAUCCCUCGGCUUAACCGGGGAACUGCGUCUGAUACUGGAUGGCUUGAGUUUGGGAGAGGGAUGCGGAAUUCCAGGUGUAGCGGUGAAAUGCGCAGAUAUCAGGAAGAACACCGGCGGCGAAGGCGGCACUCUGGGCUGGUACUGACGCUGAGGAGCGAAAGCGUGGGGAGCAAACAGG